rnacentral:lncRNA from 1 species
AUUCUUGAGAUGCUUUGUUAGUAAAAAGAAAAUGUUACAUCAGGAAACAUGUACCAUGGAAUAGGAAUCAAAAGCAAGGUAUUAUCACAACAUCUUAGUUUUUUAUUCAAGUGCACAACCAUAUAUUUUGAGGUAAAGCUAUUAGUUCUUGCCAAAUCGUCAAUUCAAUUUUGAAUGGUUCUAACUAUUAUACUUCAUGUUGUAGGCGGUUGUGGCUGUGACUACCUCGCUUGCGCUAGAAAGGUUAGCUUCUUUAAUAUGCUUUAGCUCAGAGCUGUCAUGUUUCUGCUUGUUUUUGUCCUUAGUUUUUGUGUUUUUAUUCUUGAUUCGGGGUUUAGAAUGCAGGGGGUUUGCUGACUCCAUAUUUGGGAUGUCGGUGGUNN